rnacentral:rRNA from 1 species
GUGUCAGCCGCCGCGGUAAGACAGAGGGUGCAAACGUUGCUCGGAAUUACUGGGCGUAAAGCGCGUGUAGGCGGGAAGAUAAGUCGGGUGUGAAAUCCCUGGGCUCAACCUAGGAACUGCAUCCGAAACUGCCUUUCUGGAGUGAUGGAGAGGAAAGCGGAAUUCCCGGUGUAGAGGUGAAAUUCGUAGAUAUCGGGAGGAACACCAGUGGCGAAGGCGGCUUUCUGGCCAUCAACUGACGCUGAGACGCGAAAGCGUGGGGAGCAAACAGGAUUAGAAACCCCCGUAGUCC